UCUUCCACUGAGAUGCUGGCAACCCAGUCUACUUCUAUGAAUUCCAGCAUCGGCCGAGCGAAACGGAAGGUGUUUUACCAGACUUUGUAAAAGCAGAUCAUGGAGUUGAGAUCGCUUUUGUCUUUGGAAAGCCCUUCUUAGCUGGACACGGUACAGAAGAAGAACAUAAACUUAGCAGAACUGUUAUGAAAUACUGGGCUAACUUUGCUAGAAAUGGAAAUCCCAAUGGAGAAGGCUUGGUCCAUUGGCCUCAGUAUGAUCUGGAUGAGAAAUACCUGGAGAUAGACCUGAAGCAAAAGGCAGCCCAGAAACUGAAAGAAGGCAAAAUGAAGGUUUGGACACAUCUCGUGAAA